GUAGGGAAUAUUGCACAAUGGAGGAAACUCUGAUGCAGCGACGCCGCGUGAGUGAUGAAGGCCUUCGGGUCGUAAAACUCUGUGAUAAGGGAAGAUAAUGACGGUACCUUAUCAGAAAAGACCGGCUAACUUCGUGCCAGCAGCCGCGGUAAUACGAGGGGUCUAAGCGUUGUUCGGAAUCACUGGGCGUAAAGCGGGUGUAGGUGGCUAUGCAAGUUGGAUGUGAAAUCCCCGGGCUCAACCCGGGAAGUGCAUCAAAAACUACGUAGCUUGAGUGCGGGAAAGAAAGGCAGAAUUCCUGGUGUAGUGGUGAAAUACGUAGAUAUCAGGAGGAACUCCGGUGGCGAAGGCGGCCUUUUGGCCCAGCACUGACACUCAGACCCGAAAGCGUGGGUAGCAAACAGGAUUAGAAACCCUGGUAGUCC
rnacentral:rRNA from 1 species